rnacentral:rRNA from 1 species
AUUGAACGCUGGCGGCAUGCCUAACACAUGCAAGUCGGCCGAGCGGUGGACGGGUGAGUAAUGUAUGGGGAUCUGCCUUAUGGAGGGGGAUAACUACUGGAAACGGUAGCUAAUACCGCAUACCAUCAGAUGAACCCAUAUGGGAUUAGCUUGUUGGUGAGGUAACGGCGAACCUAGGAGACGAUCCCUAGCUGGUCUGAGAGGAUGAUAAGCCACACUGGGACUGAGACACGGCGCAGACGCCUACGGGAGGCAGCAGUGGGGAAUAUUGCACAAUGGGCGCAAGCCUGAUGCAGCCAGGCCGCGUGUAUGAAGAAGGACUUCGGGUUGUAAAGUACUUUCAGUCGGGAGGCGUUACCGACAGAAGAAGCACCGGCUAACUCCGUGCCAGCAGCCGCGGUAAUAC